rnacentral:siRNA from 1 species
AUACGGUAAAAAGUGUGGCA